UGGGGAANUUUUGGACAAUGGGCGCAAGCCUGAUCCAGCCAUGCCGCGUGAGUGAAGNAAGGGCCUUCGGGUUGUAAAGCUCUUUCAGUUGGGAAGAAACGAUUGCAACUAAUAAUUGUAAUUAAUGACGGUACCGACAGAAGAAGCACCGGCUAACUACGUGCCAGCAGCCGCGGUAAUACGUAGGGUGCGAGCGUUAAUCGGAAUUACUGGGCGUAAAGGGUGCGCAGGCGGUUUUGUAAGUCAGAUGUGAAAUCCCCGGGCUUAACCUGGGAAUGGCGUUUGAAACUGCAAGGCUAGAGUGUAGCAGAGGGGAGUGGAAUUCCGCGUGUAGCAGUGAAAUGCGUAGAUAUGCGGAGGAACACCGAUGGCGAAGGCAGGCUCCCUGGGCUAACACUGACG
rnacentral:rRNA from 1 species